rnacentral:tRNA from 1 species
GCGACACUAGCUCAUCUGGAUAGAGCAACGGCCUUCUAAGCCGUAGGCGGCCUGUUCGAGUCAGGCGUGUCGCA